rnacentral:misc_RNA from 1 species
GCCAGAAUUCAUGGAACAAUCAUAUUCUUAGGCACCAAGCAUAAAUAAGUGCCUCAGGGAUGGAAAAUUACAUCAUGAUAGAUUUUCUCAUUGUUUACACCAUUUAUCCUAACUAAGAAAAUUUAAUGCAAGUAUUCUCAAUAAGAUAGAGGACAUCCCUACAAGUUAAUUACACAAAGAAACUGGGAUUAUUCACAUAUACAUAUAUAAUACAGCUACGCCCAACUACACGAACUCAAAAUUACAAUGAGGAUUCGCUUCUCAUGAUAUUGUCAAACGUCUCAACAGGAUCAAGUAUCACUCCAAGUAUCAUCAUCUUCCCCAUCAUCACUUCCAACAGCCUGUCGGAUUGCAUUUGCUUUCUCCAAUAUUGCAGAGACUUUGUCAUUUGUAGCAGGGACUGAUGUGAAGGUAGGCUUUGCUGUCACAGUGCGUCUCAGGGUGAAUGAUUUCGCUCUGAUUUGAUGCAAAAAAUCCUCCUUUUCAUCCAACCCUUUGCCAUUUGGAGGCAGAUUAACUUCUUUCUGUGCAUUCAACUGACAAUGGUCCUUGCUCUUUGGUUUAAAUGUAAUGGCCUCCUCA